rnacentral:rRNA from 1 species
CAGCCGCCGCGGUAAUCCGGAGGGUGCAAGCGUUAAUCGGAAUUACUGGGCGUAAAGCGCACGCAGGCGGUCUGACAAGUCAGAUGUGAAAUCCCCGGGCUUAACCUGGGAACUGCAUUUGAAACUGUCAGGCUGGAGUCUUGUAGAGGGGGGUGGAAUUCCAGGUGUAGCGGUGAAAUGCGUAGAGAUCUGGAGGAAUACCGGUGGCGAAGGCGGCCCCCUGGACAAAGACUGACGCUCAGGUGCGAAAGCGUGGGGAGCAAACAGGAUUAGAUACCCCGGUAGUCCCUGUCUCUUAUAC